ACACAUGCAGUCGAGCGAUGAAGUUUCUUCGGAAAUGGAUUAGCGGCGAACGGGUGAGGAACACGUGAAGAAUCUGCCCUCCACUUUGGGAUAACACCGGGAAACCGGUGCUAAUACCGAAUAUUGAAACAUAAGUGGCAUCACUGAGUUUUGAAAGAAUUUCGGUGGAGGAUGACUUCGCGGCCUAUCAGCUAGUUGGUGAGGUAAUGGCUCACCAAGGCAACGACGGGUAGCCGGCCUGAGAGGGCGACCGGCCACACUGGGACUGAGACACGGCCCAGACUCCUACGGGAGGCAGCAGUGGGGAAUAUUGGGCAAUGGAGGAAACUCUGACCCAGCGACGCCGCGUGCGGGAUGAAGGCCUUCGGGUUGUAAACCGCUUUCAGUAGGGAAGAAGCGAAAGUGACGGUACCUACAAAAGAAGCACCGGCUAACUAUGUGCCAGCAGCCGCGGUAAUACAUAGGGUGCAAGCGUUGUCCGGAAUUAUUGGGCGUAAAGAGCUCGUAGGUCGUUUGUUACGUCGGAUGUGAAAACCUGAGGCUCAACCUCAGGCCUGCAUUCGAUACGGGCAAACUAGAGUUUGGUAGGGGAGACUGGAAUUCCUGGUGUAGCGGUGGAAUGCGCAGAUAUCAGGAGGAACACCAAUGGCGAAGGCAGGUCUCUGGGCCAAUACUGACACUGAGGAGCGAAAGUCUGGGGAACGAACAGGAUUAGAUACCCUGGUAGUCCAGACCGUAAACGGUGGGCACUAGUUGUGGGAACCUUCCACGGUUUCUGCGACGCAGCUAACGCAUUAAGUGCCCCGCCUGGGGAGUACGGUCGCAAGAUUAAAACUCAA
rnacentral:rRNA from 1 species